rnacentral:rRNA from 1 species
GACGAACGCUGGCGGCGUGCUUAACACAUGCAAGUCGAACGGAAAGGCCCUGCUUUUGUGGGGUGCUCGAGUGGCGAACGGGUGAGUAACACGUGAGUAACCUGCCCUUGACUUUGGGAUAACUUCAGGAAACUGGGGCUAAUACCGGAUAGGAGCUCCUGCUGCAUGGUGGGGGUUGGAAAGUUUCGGCGGUUGGGGAUGGACUCGCGGCUUAUCAGCUUGUUGGUGGGGUAGUGGCUUACCAAGGCUUUGACGGGUAGCCGGCCUGAGAGGGUGACCGGCCACAUUGGGACUGAGAUAGGGACCAGAAGCCUACGGGAGGCAGCAGGGGGGAAUAUGGCACAAGGGGCGGAAGCCUGAGGCAGCAACGCCGCGUGCGGGAUGACGGCCUUCGGGUUGUAAACCGCUUGCGCCGGUGACGAAGCGUGAGUGACGGUAAGGGAUAAAGAAGCACCGGCUAACUACGUG